ACGAACGCUGGCGGCAUGCCUAACCCAUGCAAGUCGAACGAGACCUUCGGGUCUAGUGGCGCACGGGUGCGUAACGCGUGGGAACCUGCCCUUAGGUUCGGAAUAACUCCCCGAAAGGGGUGCUAAUACCGGAUAAUGUCUUCGGACCAAAGAUUUAUCGCCUUUGGAUGGGCCCGCGUUGGAUUAGCUAGUUGGUAGGGUAAAAGCCUACCAAGGCGACGAUCCAUAGCUGGUCUGAGAGGAUGAUCAGCCACACUGGGACUGGGACACGGCCCAGACUCCUACGGGAGGCAGCAGUGGGGAAUAUUGGACAAUGGGCGAAAGGCUGAUCCAGCAAUGCCGCGUGAGUGAUGAAGGCCUUAGGGUUGUAAAGCUCUUUUACCCGGGAUGAUAAUGACAGUACCGAGAGAAUAAGCACCGGCUAACUCCGUG
rnacentral:rRNA from 1 species